rnacentral:rRNA from 1 species
GGGAUAUUGCGCAAUGGGCGAAAGCCUGACGCAGCGACGCCGCGUGGGUGAUGAAGGCCUUCGGGUCGUAAAGCCCUGUCGAGGGGAAAGAAACGGUCCCGACCCAACACGUCGGGGCCCUGACGGUACCCCUAAAGGAAGCACCGGCGACCCCCGGUCCAGCAGCCGCGGUAAUACAGAGGGUGCGAGCGUUGUUCGGAAUCACUGGGCGUAAAGGGCGUGUAGGCGGUCCGCUAAGUCUGAUGUGAAAGCCCGGGGCUCACCCCCGGAAGGGCAUUGGAAACUGACGGACUCGAGUCCCGAAGAGGAGGGUGGAAUUCCUGGUGUAGCGGUGAAAUGCGUAGAUAUCAGGAGGAACACCGGUGGCGAAGGCGGCCCUCUGGACGGUGACUGACGCUGAGACGCGAAAGCGUGGGGAGCAAAC